ensembl:lncRNA novel transcript, antisense to GBP4
GUGCAGUCUGCGCUUGGGAAUUUGUUGUUGUUUGUUAUAACCCAAAUAUACUUGAAAGGUAAAGCUUAAGAGCAAACUUACCUGGUGUGGGCACUGCAGCGUGAAGAGUUCUCUCACCCAUUGCUCUGUCCUCCUGCGCCUGGAUCCUCGAGAAACGGACUGUUCUUAGAAGCUGAAAGUCCAGCCGGAUUUACAGACAUCCAAGUAAGAGUCUGUGAGAACCGAAAUUGAAAGGACAUGCACUUUGUGGGGAGUUGACUGUUGGGGAUUUUCCUGUUUAUCAAGACAGGAAACUAAAGGAGCUUGAAAGUGCUGGUUCCUCCACACCAGACUCCUGAAACUCAGGUUUGUUGGUGGAAGGGACUUACCAUGUCUCAGACGAAACUUUGGACUGUGAACUUUUGAGUUAAUACUGCAAUGAGUUAAGACUGGUGAGUGUUCAAUAGCAAAGACUUGGAACCAACCCAAAUGUCCAACAACGAUAGACUGGAUUAAGAAAAUGUGGCACAUAUACACCAUGGAAUAUUAUGCAGCCAUAAAAAAUGAUGAGUUCAUGUCCUUUGUAGGGACAUGGAUGAAACUGGAAACCAUCAUUCUCAGCAAACUAUCGCAAGGACAAAAAACCAAACACCACAUGUUCUCACUCAUAGGUGGGAAUUGAACAAUGAGAACACAUGGACACAGGAAGGGGAACAUCACUCUCCGGGGACUGUUGUGGGGUCGGGGGAGAGGGGAGGGAUAGCAUUAGGAGAUAUACCUAAUGCUAAAUGACGAGUUAAUGGGUGUAGCACACCAACAUGGCACGUGUAUAUGUAACAAACCUGCACAUUGUGCACAUGUACCCUAAAACUUAAAGAAUAAUAAUAAUAAUAAUAAUAAUAAUAAUAAUAAAAAGACUGGUGAGUGUUAAGAAGGCAUAAUUGUAUUUUUCAAUGUGAAAAGGACAUGAAAUUUGGGAGGGACCAGGGGCAGAAUGGUAUGGUUUGAAUUUGUGUCCCCACCCAUCUCAUGUCAAAUUGGAGGAGAUGCCUGGUGGGAGGUGAUUGGUUCAUGGGGGACAAUUUCCUCCUUGCUAUUCUCAUGACAUUGAAUGAGCACUUAUGAGAUCUGAUGGCUUAAAAGGGUGUGGCACUUCCCCUUUCUCUUUCUCUCUCUCCGCUGUCACCAUGUGAAGAAGGUGCUUGCUUCCCCUUCGCCUUCUGCCAUGAUUGUAAGUUUCUUGAGGCCUCCUAGUCAUGCUUCCUGUUAAGCCCGUAGAACUGUGAAUCAAUUAAACCUCUUUUCUUCAUAAAUUACCCAGGCUCAGGUAGCUCUUUAUAGCAGUGUGGAAUGGACUAAUACAACAAGGUUCUUGAUAGACAACCUACAAAUGUUCUCUAUUGACUAAUCACAUGUAAACUUAUUAUAAUUCAUAGUAUUAUUUGAAUGGAUCUGUUAUUCCUGCAGGAUCGUCAAACCACUGAUCUGUUUUCAGACCAACCCAUCUAUUUACAGAUAUGAGUCUAAUUGGAAACUUCAGUACAUCUUAUAUAUUAUGACAUGCAUAAUCUUGACAUUCAGUUGUUAUCCUUAUUUUUUAUUCAUUAUAUAUUUUAUGAGCCC